rnacentral:lncRNA from 1 species
GGGGGGAUUGGCAAGACAACCUUGGCUAACAAAAUUUAUAAUGAUCAAUUCGUUAUGUCUCGAUUUGAAAUUCGUGUAAAAGUUACUGUUUCACUAGAGUAUUGUGCAAGCAAUGUACUUCUAGGCCUUCUUUCUUAUAUAAAUGGAAAUAUUGAGAUAUUACAGAAGAUAUUUGUAGUUGUUUUAACACAGAUACGAAACCAAACGUGGUUGUAAUCGCAACAUCUGCAAAAAUAACCUUUUUUCCGAAGCUAACCUCUUAUAGAGUCUCUGUUGAUGACUCAUAAACUCCAAAAAAUAAUCUUUUGCCUGGUUUGCUUUUCUAUAUGCUUCACUUCCUGAGUGAACUAUUAUCAAGUCUUGGCAGAUACUUGUUUGCCUGAUAUAUAUCCUACACAAUAACGGAAGACGCAAGGGGGAGAGCAGUCAGCCUCAACAAACUGAAAUCAAACAUUUAAUGUAUAUAAUAUGAAAUACACAUCAUAAGAAAUCACAUGUUCAGGGCUUGAAGCUCCUCAAUAAGUUUAAAAAAUAUUUAAAAAAUAUUUCCUGCAAUCCUUCAAGUAUUUAAUUUGUAUCUAGACUAGUCUGUCCAUUCAAGACUCCACCACACAUCACAUCAAACGAAACCAAUUUCACCUCAUCAGCCUAAAAUUUCACUUUUUCUUUAUUGUAAGGACAUCUUAUUUAUUUUCCUUAUGGCUUCUCCAUUGCUGUAUUUCCUUUCCAUACUUGAUUUUGAUUUACUUUACUUGAUCUGAGGGUUAUUGGAGACAACCUCUUUACCUUCACAUGGGUACAAGUUUAGUAUGUUGUUGUUGAAGCAUUUCAACAAUUAUGUGUGAAAGCACAUUUCUACAUUUACUACAGAUAAAUUUGAUUCCUAAAUCUUAAGAGCAAUUGAUCCCACAUUUUCAGUUCUCCUAUUAUCUCGUAGUUAAAGUCAAUCUAAGUUUGACUAGUGACACUUUUCACUAGUAAUGAGUAACUAUCAGAUAUGCAAGCUUCUAGAUUAUCAAGAAACUUCAUAAAUAUGAACAUCAUGAAAAUUCUACUCUUAAGUGUUAAAAUGAAUAGGAUAUACACAUUUAGCAAAAAUUAUAAAGCCAUAUUUAAGGAUUUCAGAAUAUCUGAAUUACAGAAGCAUGUUAAACUACAUUAAAAAGUCUAUAGUGCACAUAAUAGAACCAGAGUGUUCCACUUCCUUUCCAACUCUUUCUUUCACCUUUAAAGUAAAUAUCGGGGGAUGAUAGAAUAAAAAAAAACUUUCCAACUUCUGCAAAUGAGAAAGAAAAACAAAAAAAAAAAUAGAACAUGACAUUUUUUCAAGCAACCGAUAGUUAAAAAUUGGGAAAAUAGUAUGUGUGGCCUAAUUUGUACAUAUCAUGGUUCAUAAUCCACUUCAUUGACCACUAGGCUACACACUGCGGUGCUGGGGAACUUUCUUUUGUGUCUGUUCUUUCUUUUAAUCGACUAUAAUAUGACAGACCGGAACAUAGGAUCUUGAAAUACCUAUAUCACAGGAACUCUAAACGGUAAACAACAU